GUGAAAUUGUUGAAAGGGAAGCGCUUGCAACCAGACUUGCACGCAGUUGAUCAUCCGGUGUUCUCACCGGGGCACUCUGCUGCGUUCAGGCCAGCAUCGGUUUUGGUGGUUGGAUAAAGGCCUUGGGAAUGUGGCUUCCUUCGGGGAGUGUUAUAGCCCUCGGUGCAAUGCAGCCUACCGGGACCGAGGACCGCGCUUCGGCUAGGAUGCUGGCGUAAUGGUUGUAAGCGACCCGUCUUGAAACACGGACCAAGGAGUCUAACAUCUAUGCGAGUGUUUGGGUGUUAAACCCAUACGCGUAAUGAAAGUGAACGGAGGUGAGAACCCUUAAGGGUGCAUCAUCGACCGGUCCUGAUGUCUUCGGAUGGAUCUGAGUAAGAGCAUAGCUGUUGGGACCCGAAAGAUGGUGAACUAUGCGUGAAUAGGGUGAAGCCAGAGGAAACUCUGGUGGAGGCUCGCAGCGGUUCUGACGUGCAAAUCGAUCGUCAAAUUUGCGCAUAGGGGCGAAAGACUUAUCGAACCAUUGGAAUAACUACUAGGUGGUUAAGAGGCCAUAGUACGGCCUAGUCCUCACCGAGGGCGACAUUGUCAAAUUGUUCGGGGACCUCCUGAUAACUCUCAGACUACCGCAGCCUGCCCGAAAGGGGGGUGCGCACCGGGCUAACGACCCUGGGGAUGGUAAUAACGUCUGGAUAGGGAUGAUCCGCAGCC
rnacentral:rRNA from 1 species